GUGUUCGCUUUGGCAACACAUUUGUGAAAACCGGAUGACACAGAGAAGAUUAGCAUGGCUCCUACACAAGGACGACAUACAAAUUUGUGAAAUGUCGCCGGGACCG